CCUACGGGAGGCAGCAGUGAGGAAUAUUGGUCAAUGGACGAGAGUCUGAACCAGCCAAGUAGCGUGAAGGAUGACUGCCCUAUGGGUUGUAAACUUCUUUUAUAAAGGAAUAAAACGAGGCACGUGUGCCUUUUUGCAUGUACUUUAUGAAUAAGGAUCGGCUAACUCCGUGUCAGCAGCCGCGGUAAUACGGAGGAUCCGAGCGUUAUCCGGAUUUAUUGGGUUUAAAGGGAGCGUAGAUGGGUUGUUAAGUCAGUUGUGAAAGUUUGCGGCUCAACCGUAAAAUUGCAAUUGAUACUGGCAGUCUUGAGUACAGUUGAGGUAGGCGGAAUUCGAGGGGUAGCUGUGAAAUGCUUAGAUAGCACGAAGAACCCCGAUUGCGAAGGCAGCUUACUAAACUGUGACUGACAUUGAUGCUCGAAAGUGUGGGUAUCAAACAGGAUUAGAGACCCGUGUAGUC
rnacentral:rRNA from 1 species